UACGUAGGGUGCAAGCGUUAUCCGGAUUUACUGGGUGUAAAGGGCGCGUAGGCGGGAAUGCAAGUCAGAUGUGAAAUACCCGAGCUUAACUUGGGUGCUGCAUUUGAAACUGGGUGUCUAGAGUGCAGGAGAGGUAAGUGGAAUUCCUAGUGUAGCGGUGAAAUGCGUAGAGAUUAGGAAGAACACCAGUGGCGAAGGCGACUUACUGGACUGUAACUGACGCUGAGGCAUGAAAGCGUGGGGAGCAAACAGG
rnacentral:rRNA from 1 species